AUUGAACGCUGGCGGCAGGCUUAACACAUGCAAGUCGAGCGGGGGAAGGUAGCUUGCUACUGGACCUAGCGGCGGACGGGUGAGUAAUGCUUAGGAAUCUGCCUAUUAGUGGGGGACAACAUCUCGAAAGGGAUGCUAAUACCGCAUACGUCCUACGGGAGAAAGCAGGGGAUCUUCGGACCUUGCGCUAAUAGAUGAGCCUAAGUCGGAUUAGCUAGUUGGUGGGGUAAAGGCCUACCAAGGCGACGAUCUGUAGCGGGUCUGAGAGGAUGAUCCGGCACACUGGGACUGAGACACUGCCCAGACUCCUACGGGAGGCAGCAGUGGGGAAUAUUGGACAAUGGGGGGAACCCUGAUCCAGUCAUGCCGCGUGUGUGAAGAAGGCCUUAUGGUUGUAAAGCACUUUAAGCGAGGAGGAGGCUACUUUAGUUAAUACCUAGAGAUAGUGGACGUUACUCGCAGAAUAAGCACCGGCUAACUCUGUGCCAGCAGCCGCCGUAA
rnacentral:rRNA from 1 species